UACGAAGGGGGCGAGCGUUGUUCGGAUUUACUGGGCGUAAAGGGCGCGCAGGCGGCCAACCAAGUCAGACGUGAAAGCCCCGGGCUCAACCUGGGAAUGGCGUUUGGGACUGGCUGGCUAGAGAUCGGGAGAGGAGCGUGGAAUUCCCAGUGUAGAGGUGAAAUUCGUAGAUAUUGGGAAGAACACCGGUGGCGAAGGCGGCGCUCUGGACCGAGACUGACGCUGAGGCGCGAAAGCGUGGGGAGCAAACAGG
rnacentral:rRNA from 1 species